rnacentral:rRNA from 1 species
AUUGAACGCUGGCGGCAUGCUUUACACAUGCAAGUCGAACGGCAGCGCGGGCUUCGGCCUGGCGGCGAGUGGUGAACGGGUGAGUAAUGCAUCGGAACGUGCCCAGUAGUGGGGGAUAGCCCGGCGAAAGCCGGAUUAAUACCGCAUACGACCUGAGGGUGAAAGCGGGGGACCGAAAGGCCUCGCGCUAUUGGAGCGGCCGAUGUCGGAUUAGCUAGUUGGGGGGGUAAAGGCUUACAAAGGCGACGAUCCGUAGCUGGUAUGAGAGGACGACCAGCCACACUGGGACUGAGACACGGCCCAGGCUCCUAAGGGAGGCAGCAGUGGGCAAUUUUGGACAAUGGGGGCAACCCUGAUACAGCCAUGCCGCGUGCUGGAAGAAGGCCUUCGGGUUGUAAACCGCUUUUGUUCGGGAAGAAAUCCUCUGGGCUAAUACCCCGGGGGGAUGACGGUACCGGAAGAAUAAGCACCGGCUAACUACGUG